GCCAGUGUGGUGUAGUGGUUAGCGCGUUGGACUAGGACCUGGGAAGCCAACAGGGUUCAAAUCCCCACUCUGCCA